GGUUAAAUGACUUGCCAGGAUCACAUAGCUAGGAAAUAUCUGAGGUUGGAUUUGAACUCAGGAAGAAAAGUCUUCUUCACUCCAGAUAAAGAAGCACUGGCCUAAAGAGAUUUAGUGACUUGUCCAAUGUCACACAAUCCAGAAGCAUCAGAGAAAUGCCUGGAGAGACUUGCAUGAACUGAUGCUGAGUGAAAUGAGCAGGACCAGGAGAUCAUUAUAUACUUCAACAACAAUACUAUAUGAUGAUCAAUUCUGAUGGACGUAGCCCUCUUCAACAAUGAGAUGAACCAAAUCAGUUCCAACAGAACAGUAAUGAAUUGAACCAGCUACACUCAGUGAAAGAACUCUGGGAGAUGACUAUGAACCACUACAUAGAAUUCCCAAUCCCUCUAUUUUUGUCCGCCUGCAUUUCUGAUUUCCUUCACAAACUAAUAGUACACUAUUUCAAAGUCCAAUUCUUUUUGUACAGCAAAAUAAAGGUUUGGACAUGUAUACUUAUUUAGUAUUUAAUUUGUACUUUAACAUAUUUAACAUGUAUUGGUCAACCUGCCAUCUGAGGAAGGGGGAAGAAGGAGGGGAAAAAUUGGAACAAAGGAUUUGGCAAUUGUCUUUGCUGUAAAAUUACCCAUAUAACUUGUA